CUUAAUUCUUCUGUAGUAGAGUUAUCAAGCCACGUUGGACAGAUGCUGGCCAGAGAGCAGGAACUCUCUGCAAUGCUGAAGUUAAAGGACAAGGACAUGAUGGAAGCCAGUGACCACAUCAUAGACCUCACGAGCUGGUUCAAAAAACUGGAAACAGCCCAGAGAGACUGCAAGCUGAGGGAGGCCAAAGCUGGAAAGGAGACUCAGGAAAUCAAGCAGCGUCUGAGGGAAGUAAAGCAUGAAAUGGCGAAGCUCAAAGGUAGUAAAAUAUUGAUUGCACACUAAAGAGAAAUUCUUGAUUUAAGGCUUGGAGACAGCAUCGAUUGUUUUGCUGCUUGCAUUACAUUCUGCCCUUUAGCCAGAACACACAUUUGGAAGAUACUUAUGGAUACAGUUCCAUUUGCCAUCUGUCAGCAAACCACCAAGAGUAUAGCAUUGCAAAUGUGCCACGCUUAAAGGAUUGCUUCAAAACUGAGAGGCAGAGAGCUUCAUUUUAUGUAUGUGGUUCUGUAAUGCAAGGAAAAAUCUGGUGGUUUCAUAACCUGUCCGAUAUUUGUCCUUUUUCAGGGAAUUAAAUUAGCCCUAGAUGUUAUGUAGAAUAAAAACAGAGUAGCCAUAUAUUUUAAGCAAAAAAAACAAGGUAACUAUUAAUUUUUCCUAAUUAUAGCUCAAUAACUGUGUACUUCCACAUUGUCCUGCAUGUUGAAUUGGUAGAGAACUAAACAUGCUUGUAUUGGCAUAAUCAGCUAAGUUUGAAGUUUUACACAUGACAAGAUAUUAGUCUUUAACAAAAUAAGACAAUUAUAAAUGAUUAUACAUCAUCUAGAACAACAAUAAUCAUAAUGUUAUUUAUGAUUAUUGUUGUUCUAGAUGGUUUAAGUGAAAAGACUGGAGAAAACAACAGUAAAGGGAAGAUCUUAUCCUUCUGAAACAAGAAAACCAGCACCUGCAUAACAAGCUUGCUUUGGCAGGUUUGUGAAAACCAGCAGAAUGACCUGCAGCUACUUCACCUGAACCUGGAGAGCUCACAGGAGAGACUGCAGGAGCAGGAGGAGAGAAUCCACGACUCUGGGGAUGGGAGGCUAGACUUUAGUUCUCUUGGUUUGGACUCCCCCAUGGCUUCUUCCUUUCCCUCUCCAGUCAGAAGAGGACAGGGGCAGAAAGGGAGCUCUCUUAUUGAAAAUGACUGUCUCAGGUCAGAGGACCCUCCAGUGACAGUGACCGCAAAUGGAGAGCGAAGACUCAAAUCUGCUGUUGACAAUGAGGAGCCGUGCUGCCCAACCAGCCGUCUCCAGCGAUUGCUGGCAGAGUCCAAGCAGAUGGUGGCCAGUCUGGAGCAUGCCACUGUGCAGCCUGUUAGCCCGGCACGAAGUCACAACAGCAACGAGAGCAGCCGGGACAGCGAAUUCUCGGGCUAGAAGCAGUGCAUCAGUCUUUUAAACCUGGAAACUGAGCAGCUCGGAGCUACUCGGGCAGCUCCAGGGAAUUUAAACUGUAAAUAAUGCAGCCAGCAGCUCUCUCCGUGGAACCGAGGGUCACGACGAGGUUUCCAGAUCAACUGGGAAGUCUGGACACUAUGUGGAUAUCGGAAUGCACACUGCCUGUGGUGAAAAAUUGAAUUUUCUCGCUCCCAGAGUCUAGAAGAAACCAAGAAUACAAUGCAGACACUUUCUGCAUUGUAGCAGGAGCUCACUAACUACAACCCCUUAAAACACUAACAAGAAUAUGUAAGAGCAGUUUUGUGAAAAAUAACAUUUAGCAUUAAAAUCCAACAAUGUGUAGGCAUUUAUAAAGUCAGGUGCUGUUGAGGUGGGUCUAAAUAGUAGCUCUUAUCUGAAAACCUUUUAUAAUGUAAAAAUAAGAGGCCCACUAUACUGUAAUACUUUGCCAGAGCCAUUGGGUUACAAUACCAGGCCUGUCCAGAUUAAUUGCAAGAAAUGCAUUUUACAAUUUAAUAAUAAACUGAACAAGGGGAGAGUGUUCAAUUGCUUAACAUUUGCAAAAUGAUGUUUAUAAUAAACUCUUGACUGUUGUAAAUGUGUUUUAGAAGGUCUAAAGGAUUGAUAACCAAGGCUUUGAAAUCCCUGGUCUCGGUUUACUUUUUGUAUCGCACUGGUAUAACAGUCAGGCUUUACAUUUAAAAGCAUUACAAAACAGUAUUACACGUAAAAUACUGGUUGACAUACCGUGCUAUUUUAAACAAUUCAUUUAAUAUAAUUCAAUAUAAUUAAUAUAAUAUAAUUCCUAUAUAAUUCAUUGUACGCUCUUAACAUGGCCACGUGCACUUCCUUAUAGCAUUGUAGUGUGAACAGUGUAGUGUUCAUUACAAAACAUCUUUCAGUUUGAGCGAAUGCUUUUAACAUUGCGGAACUGCACUUUUUAAUAUUGAUCGAGUGAAGAGGUAGCAGCAGGGUCUGGAUUAAAUAAAAAAUUAUGGCUGUGCCGUAGGCAUUAUAAAGUAUAGGUGUGGCGCUGCUGUAAGCUUGUAUAAUCCUUCCAGUUACUCACCUGACUUACUGGUAACUGGGCUAAAUUACAAGCCACUGCUUUGGUCUUAAGGCCACUUAUUUGGCAGUGCAUUGCAAGAGCAAUGCAUGCUAAAGUAAAAUGUCACACAGUUUACUUCUACUCAAGUGUUUUAUAUGUGAAAUCUCAAAAAAUACAAUGGUUACUGUGGGCAAGGCUAAUGGGAGAGGAUAUGUGUGCUAUAAAAUAUAUUUUAUAACAAAAGUACAAUU